rnacentral:rRNA from 28 species
GUGACCUCGAAUCAGGUAGGACUACCCGCUGAACUUAAGCAUAUCAAUAAGCGGAG